GAGUUUCGUAUCCUGGCGUCAGGACGAACGCUGGCGGUGUGCCUCAUACAUGCAAGUCGAACGAGAAGCAGGUAGCUUGCUCCUGUGGAAAGUGGCGGACGGGUGAGUACAACAUAGGAAAUCUGCCUUAGGGUGGGGGACAACAGAGGGAAACUUCUGCUAAUACCCCAUAUGAGCUUGGUUGAAAUACCAAUCUUGAAAGUUCCGGCGCCCUAAGAUGAGCCUGUGCCUGAUUAGCUAGUUGGUGGUGUAAUGGACUACCAAGGCAACGAUCAGUAGCUGGUUUGAGAGGAUGAUCAGCCACAAUGGGACUGAGACACGGCCCAUACUCCUACGGGAGGCAGCAGUAGGGAAUUUUGCGCAAUGGGCGAAAGCCUGACGCAGCAACACCGCGUGAAUGUUAAGCCCUUCGGGGUGUAAAGUUCUGUCAAUAGGGACGAAUUUUGACUGUACCUAUAAAGGAAGCACCGGCUAACUCCGUG
rnacentral:rRNA from 1 species